rnacentral:rRNA from 1 species
UCGUUGGGUAGGGGAGCGUUCUGUAAGCCUGCGAAGGUGGCCUGUGAGGGUUGCUGGAGGUAUCAGAAGUGCGAAUGCUGACAUAAGUAACGAUAAAGCGGGUGAAAAGCCCGCUCGCCGGAAGACCAAGGGUUCCUGUCCAACGUUAAUCGGGGCAGGGUGAGUCGACCCCUAAGGCGAGGCCGAAAGGCGUAGUCGAUGGGAAACGGGUUAAUAUUCCCGUACUUGGUGUUACUGCGAAGGGGGGACGGAGAAGGCUAUGUUGGCCGGGCGACGGUUGUCCCGGUUUAAGCGUGUAGGUGUGUGUUCCAGGUAAAUCCGGUUCACUUUAACACUGAGGCGUGAUGACGAGGCACUACGGUGCUGAAGCAACAAAUGCCCUGCUUCCAGGAAAAGCCUCUAAGCAUCAGGUAACAUCAAAUCGUACCCCAAACCGACACAGGUGGUCAGGUAGAGAAUACCAAGGCGCUUGAGAGAACUCGGGUGAAGGAACUAGGCAAAAUGGUGCCGUAACUUCGGGAGAAGGCACGCUGACACGUAGGUGAAGUGAUUUACUCAUGGAGCUGAAGUCAGUCGAAGAUACCAGCUGGCUGCAACUGUUUAUUAAAAACACAGCACUGUGCAAACACGAAAGUGGACGUAUACGGUGUGACGCCUGCCCGGUGCCGGAAGGUUAAUUGAUGGGGUCAGCGCAAGCGAAGCUCCUGAUCGAAGCCCCGGUAAACGGCGGCCGUAACUAUAACGGUCCUAAGGUAGCGAAAUUCCUUGUCGGGUAAGUUCCGACCUGCACGAAUGGCGUAAUGAUGGCCAGGCUGUCUCCACCCGAGACUCAGUGAAAUUGAACUCGCUGUGAAGAUGCAGUGUACCCGCGGCAAGACGGAAAGACCCCGUGAACCUUUACUAUAGCUUGACACUGAACAUUGAGCCUUGAUGUGUAGGAUAGGUGGGAGGCUUUGAAGUGUGGACGCCAGUCUGCAUGGAGCCGACCUUGAAAUACCACCCUUUAAUGUUUGAUGUUCUAACGUGGACCCGUAAUCCGGGUUGCGGACAGUGUCUGGUGGGUAGUUUGACUGGGGCGGUCUCCUCCUAAAGAGUAACGGAGGAGCACGAAGGUUGGCUAAUCCUGGUCGGACAUCAGGAGGUUAGUGCAAUGGCAUAAGCCAGCUUGACUGCGAGCGUGACGGCGCGAGCAGGUGCGAAAGCAGGUCAUAGUGAUCCGGUGGUUCUGAAUGGAAGGGCCAUCGCUCAACGGAUAAAAGGUACUCCGGGGAUAACAGGCUGAUACCGCCCAAGAGUUCAUAUCGACGGCGGUGUUUGGCACCUCGAUGUCGGCUCAUCACAUCCUGGGGCUGAAGUAGGUCCCAAGGGUAUGGCUGUUCGCCAUUUAAAGUGGUACGCGAGCUGGGUUUAGAACGUCGUGAGACAGUUCGGUCCCUAUCUGCCGUGGGCGCUGGAGAACUGAGGGGGGCUGCUCCUAGUACGAGAGGACCGGAGUGGACGCAUCACUGGUGUUCGGGUUGUCAUGCCAAUGGCACUGCCCGGUAGCUAAAUGCGGAAGAGAUAAGUGCUGAAAGCAUCUAAGCACGAAACUUGCCCCGAGAUGAGUUCU